rnacentral:rRNA from 1 species
GAACGCUGGCGGCGCGUCUUAAGCAUGCAAGUCGGACGGCAAGGGUUGUGCUUGCACAACUCCUAGAGUGGCGGACUGGUGAGUAACGCGUGGGUGACCUGCCCUCGAGAUGGGGAUAGCCAUUAGAAAUAGUGGAUAAUACCGAAUAAGCUCAUGACCCUGUGGGAUAUGAGGAAAACAGGCUACGGCCUGGCUCGAGGAUGGGCCCGCGUCCCAUUAGCUAGUUGGUGAGGUAACGGCCCACCAAGGCGACGAUGGGUAUCCGGCCUGAGAGGGUGUACGGACACAUUGGGACUGAGAUACGGCCCAAACUCCUACGGGAGGCAGCAGCUAAGAAUAUUCCGCAAUGGACGAAAGUCUGACGGAGCGACGCCGCGUGGAUGAAGAAAGGCCGGAAGGUUGUAAAAUCCUUUUGCUGAUGAAGAAUAAGUGUGGUAGGGAAUGACCGCAUGAUGACAUUAGUCGGUGAAUAAGCCCCGGCUAACUACGUGCCAGCCGCAGC